rnacentral:rRNA from 1 species
GACGAACGCUGGCGGCGUGCCUAAUACAUGCAAGUCGAACGGAAAGGCCCUGCUCUUGUGGGGUUCUCGAGUGGCGAACGCGUGUGUAACACGCGAGUAACCCCCCCCUGAUUUUGGGAUAUCUCUAGGAAACAGGGUCUAUAAUCCCAUAUGACCUCCUGCUGCACGGUGGGGGUUGGAAAGUUUCGGCGGUUGGGGAUGGACUCGCGGCUCAGCAGCUUGUUGGUGGGGUAGUGGCUUACCAAGGCUUUGACGGGUAGCCGGCCUGAGAGGGUGACCGGCCACAUUGGGACUGAGGUACGGGCCAGAGUCCUACGGGGGGCAGCGGUGGGAAAUAUUGCACAAUAGGCGGAAGCCUGAUGCAACGACGCCGCGUGCGGAAUGACGGCCUUCGGGUUAUAAACCGCUUUCGCCUGUAACGAAGCGUGAGUGACGGUAAUGUGUAAAAAAGCAACGGCUAACUACGUG